UACGAGAGGCCCAAGCGUUAUUCGGAUUUACUGGGCUUAAAGAGUUCGUAGGCGGCGCAGAAAGUAGGGUGUGAAAGCCCUCGGCCUAACCGAGGAAUUGCGCUCUAAACUACUGUGCUUGAGGAAUCUAGAGGUGAGCGGAACUGAUGGUGGAGCGGUGAAAUGCGUUGAUAUCAGCAGGAACACCGGUGGCGAAGGCGGCCUUCUGGACGGUGACUGACGCUGAGGCGCGAAAGCGUGGGGAGCAAACGGG
rnacentral:rRNA from 1 species